rnacentral:tmRNA from 1 species
GGGGGCGACCUGGCUUCGACGUGGUCGGUUCUCCGGCAGAGCUGCAAGCGGAGGUCUCCGGUCGGCCUCCUAAAACAACCGGAAACCAAUGCAAGUGCGGAUAAUCAACUCGCACUCGCCGCUUAGUUCUUAGGGACUAAGUGACGUGUCGCCCCGAGUUGGGCCCGUGGCCCGGAGGCGGCAUCAACUAACGGGCUGGCGCUUAGGGAGAGUCACUCGCCCGAAAGCGUGAGAUCCAAAGGAGGACUAGCCCGAACGGUUGGUCGGUCCCCACCGGCCGCCGGGCGAAUUUCAAGGGGUACCUAAGCUUGUAGACGCUCUGACCGGUGCGAUUGCGGACGCGGGUUCGAUUCCCGCCGCCUCCAUAA